GCUCCGAUCGUCUAGUUCGGUCAAGGACACUGGCCUUUCAAGCCAGCGACCCGGGUUCAAAUCCCGGCCGGAGCA
rnacentral:tRNA from 3 species